ncrna:Arthrobacter sp. FB24 Actino-pnp RNA
CGCGGUCCUCGGUAGUGAUUCCCGGGAACGGCUUCGAAGAAUGAAGCCCGGCCCGUGGGUCUCGAUCGAUGACCGGG